rnacentral:ribozyme from 11 species
AAAAAAAGAGAAGAGCGAGCACAUAGACAAAAAAAACAAACUUCUCCUCCCUGUUGCGAGAGAAAAAGAAAAGAACGUACGUUUCUCUUUUUUUUUUUUUUUUUUUU